rnacentral:sRNA from 1 species
GGGGACGUUACGGAUUCGACAGGGAUAGUUCGAGCUUAGGCUGCGAGUCGAGGGGACCGUCCUCGUUAAUAACGUCGCCUAAAUUAUAACUGGCAAAGAAAACAACUACUCUCUAGCAGCAGCGUAAGCUGCCUAGAGGAUCCUGGCUUCCAUCGCCCGUGUGGAAGAUUGCAGGGUCUCAAACUGAACGGGCUACGCUAACAUCCACCGUCUGAGGAUGUUAGAAGAGACUAAUCAGACUAGCUCCUCGGACGCCUGUUGGUAGGCAUAAGAGAGAGCGAAUUGCAAAUAUGCCAACUACACUCGUAGAUGCCUAAGUGGCGAUGUCUCUGGACGUGGGUUCGACUCCCACCGUCUCCACCA